AUACUUACCUGGCAGGGAAGAUACAAUAAUCAUAAAGGUGGCUUUCCCAGGGAGACGCUUAUCCAUUGCACUCCAGAUAUGCUGACCCCCAUGAUUUCCCCAAAUGUGGAAAACUCAGCUAUAUAAUUUGUGGUUGUGGGAGACAGCAUUCUCACUCUCCCCUA